AGGCCUGUGACCACAGAAAAAGUAGCCAGCCCACCAUCCCUAGAUGAUUUUGCAGUCUUUGCACACCAGUGUGGCCAUAGGCUUGUUUUCUCCUGGACUGAGCCUGCAGAUCCUAUGAGCAAGCAUAUGUCCUGUGCUCCACUAGUCCUAGCUGGAUCGUGGACAUAUUACCAUCAUUACAAAUAUCAAUAGUUUGUGAUUACUUCAAACAAUCUGAAGUUGAAGGACCCCAGAUAUCCUUCAAAACAGGAAUCUGCAGGCAGAUGCUGAAACCAUGAAUACAGAGGGACAACUAUGUAAGCUCGUUAACGCUGACAUAGUUUUAUGAAUGCAAACAGCCAAGGAGAGCAGAUGUUGAGUGGUUGCCAGAGUGAAAUGAGGAAGCCCUGCUGCCAGCUUCCCACCAAAAAGCAGGCUCCGGCCCUGAACGCAGGAGAGUUGCUAAAGAAGUUGCUCACAGAGGCGGGAGAGAGCAGGCUACUGGUUUCCUUCAAAAUGGAAUAGGAAACAGAAAACGUGCAUCAUUUCUUCGCGCUUGAAUCAGCAACAUGACACAGGACUUUGGCAUCAGACUACUAUCACACCAAAAAAAGAGGCUUCACUUGGAGUGCUGCCACUGGAUGGGGCCUGACUUGUUUAUCCGGAAAGAAGUGACUUCCCUGGGAAGAAGGUUGCAUUUGUGAAAGCUUGUGCAGCAUUUCAAGGCUGCAUUCAGGGGCUCUGACCUCCAGUGUCAGCCUUCCAAGGAGAGAAUGGUAGUGUAAUCAUGACUGGAGAGCAACUGUUCCAGAUAAGAAUAUUUUGGCAGAUUUUAAAAGCAACUAUUACUGGUGUUGAUUGACUUAAAAAUAUUUUAAAAAUAUAACAUGUUAUAAACCUCUUCAAUAUCAAGAGGCAGGAUAUAA
rnacentral:sRNA from 1 species